rnacentral:piRNA from 1 species
UAUACUCUGAGGUCUGGACUUGUGUUGUCCU